CCAGUUCCAAGCCUGAACUCAGCUCCAGUUCACAGACUUUGGGAAGUCAGCAGAACAAGACAGAUGGCACCCGAGUAAAAACUCGCAUUCUGCCCAACAUGCCAAAGCUUUUCAUACCUUCAUCUGUCACCAAAUUUCCACCUGAGAUCACUGUCACUCCACCCACUCCCACCCUCCUUUCUCCAAAGGGCAGCAUUUCAGAAGAGACCAAGCAAAAAUUAAAGUCUGCUAUUUUGUCUGCUCAGUCUGCAGCGAAUGUAAAGAAGGAGAGCCUUUGUCAGCCAGCUUUGGAAAUCUUAGAGACCUCAAGCCAGGAGUCCUCACUGGAAAGUGAUACUGAUGAAGAUGAUGACUACAUGGACAUAUGAAUGAAUUCUGGCCAUCAUCAACACCAACCACAUAACCAUUCUUCUUGUUGCCAGCAUCUCUGGAAGUUGAAACAUCUUCAUUGGCAUUACUCUCCAUUUAAUUGGCAUCAUUGUGUUCUUCACUUUCAUUACCUUUGUUGUCACCACAACCACUUGUAUUGCCUUCAGACUCUUCUCCAUUCUACCCAUCAUGGUGCUUGACAGAAAGAAGGAUUGAUUGUUUACCAGGCAGUUGGUUAAUCUGGAUCAUGCUGUCACCAGGAACUUCAGAAAACACAAGGAUGUUCUGAGCUGCAAUUCAUAUCUCUCUACUGUUCUGCUUCUCCAACCAGAGCCCUGGGAGUUGCUCCGGUAGCUCUUUUCUAUAGUGUUCUCUUCCUUUGAGUUGUCUUGUAUUUUCCCCCUCUAGCUAAGUUCUUCUCCCAGUAAUUCAGCAACCUGAUGUCUGUCUAACCAUGCCAUGAUUAAUCCAACAGCUCCUUUUAAGGUGAAUGGAGUAGGAAAAAUGUGCUGAGCUGGUAGAGAUUUUAAUUGCACAGAGAAAGUCUGUGGCUUUGUCAUAGGGCAAGGAGGGUGAGCUGUGAGCCUGUCAGCUCCUUCACACUGCUGGGUGCUUUGUUGGAAUUUGACUCUUUCAACAGACAAAAGAACCAGCUUUUCCAGGCAGACAGAGAGGGUGGUCUCCUGUUUGUGCUCAUUUCACACCAAUGUAUGAGGUCCAGCAAAAUUUAUCUACCUGAAUGUUGGCUUAAAGAACUGAUCUUUCCAGAAUUGUCUUACAGUCCUUUCUCUUCUAAUGCCUUGGACAAGCAUUUUGAAUUGGGGGCUAGAUGAUAUUUUUAUGGUGGUAUUGAAAAAAAACUUGCAAGAUUUCAGUACCAUUUCAGUAAUGUCUGUUUUUUACAGAAUGACACGAAAAGGUGUUUUUUAUCUAUCUGCAGAGGGACUGCUCACAGUUAUUUAUAUGAGAAAAUAAUGGUAACAAAAAUCCUUUUUUUUUUUUCUACUGAAUGUUAACUUUGUAAAAUAAUGAAUGCAAACCAUGCAAAAAAAAAAAGUCACACACUAUAUAUACACCCGCGUGCGCCCACACACAUAUAUAUGUGUAUGUACAUAUAUAUAUGUCUGUAUAUGAAAACAGAAAAUGCAUACAGCUUGCAAUGUCGGAUUUCUUUGUGUUUGGGGGGGUUGGUUUUCUGUAAAAUGCAGAGCUUUGUAUAAACUUUUGGGUUUCUUUUCUAAUAAAGUUGAAAUGCA